rnacentral:lncRNA from 1 species
AAGAAGAAGAAGAAGAAUGUUUUAUUUGACUUAAACUUAUACAGUUUCUCGUCAUACAAAUACAAUUCAUAAUUAUAAUAAAUACAAAAAUAUACAGGUCAAAAUCUAAGUAAUAACUUAUAUAAAUUCUGAGGGUGGUCCUAAGCAUGAACUUCUUUCUAUCGUAUAUAAACUACAGUUUCUCGUCAUACCAAUACAAUUCGUAAUUAUAAUAUAUACAAAAAAUACAGAUCAAAAUCUAAGUAAUAAAUUAUAUAAAUUCUGAGGGUGGUCCUAAGAAUGAACUUCUUUCAAUCGUAUAUAAACUAACACAAAGAGAAAAACAAAAAAUAGUAGUCACAGUAGCUAAUACAAUUUAAGUAAUGUAGGCCUAUCAUUAUUAACAAGAUUCAUUGAUUAAAUAUUUUUACUACUAGAUCGUAUGCAGUAGCCAAUCGAAAUAUCUGUACUAAAUUUGUAUUACACAACUAUAGUAAUCAGUACCAUAUAAGGAAAUCCAAUAAUCAGGUCGUGCGCACCUGGUGUUUGAGUGGAGCGCAUGGGAUCAUAAACAAGCGGAUGUUUUGUUUGAAGGAAAAAUUGACUAAAAACUCAGAAUAUGAUCUCCAGAGUUGUGUAUUUGACUGUUUACUGUAAAGAUGGAUAAUUAUACAAGAUCUUAAAUGGUUUAGAUCUACAAAGUUGGGAUGAUAAGUUUGUGCAGUAACGGAGUUGGCGAUCAAUUCUAUUCUGAGAAUACCGGUCAGUUUCAACACGUAGUUUAUGGGAUGACAGUCUUAACCUUGACAGAGCAAUUCGAUGUUUGACAGGCAAUAAAUUAAGCAAAUCUAAACUAUUCUGAAGGUCUUGUGGUGUUUUACCAAAGAUGACCAUAUCAUCUGCGAACAACAUCAGUAUAAAGGUAAUAUCAUCUAUCGUUAAACCGCAAGUCUGAUCAUUUUGCAAAAAUAAUUCUAAAUCAUCUAAAAAUAAUGAAAACAGAACAGGUGACAUUACUUCACCUUGCUUUAAACCAACAGCACAUUCAAAAAAUUCUGAGUAUGUCUUACAACCCUGUACACAAGAUUUGACUUUAUGGUACAUACUGCGUAUAAUAUUUAACAUUUUUCCUGUAACACCUAACUUUGCAAACUUAAACCAUAACCCAUUUAGAUAUAUGCUGUCAAAUGCCUUUUUUAAAUCAAUGAAAGCACAAUACAAACGACCCUUAUCACUCAAAAUUUUUUGUACAACUGCAUUUAACACAAAAAUUGCAUCGACUGUAGAUCUAUUGCGUCUAAAACCAAAUUGAUUAUCACUUAAAAUAUCAUUAUUUUCAAUCCAAGAAUUUAUUCUAGUAUUUAAUACACAAGUGAAUAUUUUUGCAAGACAGCUAACAAGAGUAAUGCCUCUGUAAUUGUUUACAUCGUUAACAUCUUUUUUUUUAAACAGCGGAACAAUAAUUCCCUCAGACCAUUGGUCUGGAA